UUGCCUUUUGUUAGAACGUACGGUGAAGAGCACCCUAUCCAAGUCUGUUUCAAGAAGGGGAGUUUAUUUCCAGCUGGGUGCACACAGCAAGGUCAACCACACAUCAAACUGGACGCAAAAUGGUUUAUUGCAGUGUAUAGCUGGCUUCAUGUCAAAGAAAUUGGCAGCUGAAUCAAACCAAGAGGUGCCUUUACAGAUGUGUUACUGCGUUGAAAUCUUGACAGUUUUCAGAAUCCACAUACAAGGUGGCUUUUGUCACUUCCUAAAGUUGUGAAUGUCUCUUUGGAUUUGCUGUUAACGCGCUGAACCAAUCUACAAAUAUUCAGAAGAUAAAGUAGAUAUCAACCUCCAUCCCAGGUCAUCUGAUUCAACCUCUGUUUUUCAGCCAACCAUUCAUCUUAACUUCCCAGUAUGUUAUACAUCUUAAUCUCACUAGGAAGUCCUAGAUGGAAUAUAAUCACUAUUUCUUGUUGCUACUGGAUAGCAACUGGAACUAACUUACAAGUAACAGUCUGCUGCUUCAAUUCAGAAACCAUGUUCCAGCUUGGCUGACUCCAUCCUGGGUUUGUUGGAGGGUGACUGCCUGCCAAAGGUGUAUUUUCAGGAGCUUGUCAUGGGAUGUGGUUAUAUUUUUCACAAUUAAGCAGAGUAUUCCAUCUCUCUACUGGAGAUUCAGUGUCAUGAUCCUCUUUGCAACUGACUCAGCUCCCUUCCCAGCUCUCCAGAAGACAGAAAUCUGCUUUACUAAAACGACCAAAGUCAUACUAGAUUAUUAGACAUGUUGAGAACUGUAGCUUGUGGCAGGCCUCAGAUCAUAGGUCUUCCUAGGACCUUGAAAAUACUCACAGCUAUGGAUGACUUUGGUCCCACUGCAAAAUAGUUCAUGGUUCACCAAACAUUUAAUAAUGUAUCUAUAUCUAUCUAUCUAUCUAUCUAUCUAUCUAUCUAUCUAUCUAUCUAUCUAUCUAUCUAUCUAUCUAUCUAUCUAUCUAUUUCUCUAUCUAUCUAUCUAUCUAUCUAUCUAUCUAUCUAUCUAUCUAUCUAUCUAUCUAUCUACAUAUAUCUAUAUAUCUGUCUUGCGAGUUAACAGGGUUGAUGUUAUAUGUUAUAUAUGGUGGAAACUAGUUGUUCUGCUUCAGAUACCACAUAAUCUCCUCCCAGAAGGUAACAAGGAAAACAGGUCAUGGAGAGGAUGCGUAGUGUCCCUGACAAUAUUGUAGACCCGGGUCAAGCAGCACGUACAUGCUAUGUCCUGAAUAGAAGAAAUUGAACUUCCAAUAAUAUUUUCUGCUGUCCUCACCACUCUCUGCACAGCCUUCCUGUCCAAAACAGUAAUACACCCAAACCACACAGUAAUACAAUAUGACAGGAUGCUUUCAAUUGUCCCUCUAUAGAAAGUGGUAAGGAGAAGGGAAGGAAGGUGCACUCUUCUCAUACGAUGCAGGCAUUGCUCUGCCCACUUCACCAGUUUCUCACUGUUGAGUGACCAACACACACACACACACACACACACACACACACACACACACCAGCCAUUAACAGUCACAGGGACAUAACAUUUAUAUACCAUUCAAAAGAGACAAUAGAAAAUCUAAAAAGGAAAUAAAAAGAUCACAACAUCUCCUUCCCAGCAUUCAACACCCAGAUAAACAGGGAUUGACACCAGACAAACAUCUCAGUGAGUUCCAUCAUCUUCACCAACCAUUCCUUCAUUGUACGUAUUGCCAAAUCGUUGUCCCUCUACAUCAGUGGUUCUCAACCUUUUCUUCAGCAUGGAUCCCCCCUUAAUACCUUUGGUGGCCAUGGAUCUUAACUCCAGAUUUAAAUCAUUUCUUCAAGCCUUCACAGACCCCUUGUGAUGACAUCGCAGGCCCGCAGCCAUCCGAGGACCACAGGUCAAGAAUUACUGCUCUACAUUGACUGCUUAGCUUGCAAAGCUCCAAUUAAAAUCCCAAGUUAUCUCAUGGGGAUUCUUUUAGUUUGAGAAGGGAAGGCAAAUGGGAAGACUGGAGAAUGAUGGGAAGAUUUAUAACAAGGGGGGAAAUGAUCUCUUUCCACUGUUUCACAACCAUAAAAUAAGUUCAAAAAUAUAAUCAAGAGGAUUAAAAAAAAAGUAGGAACUUUUCAUAGGAGUCUUUAAAAAAUAUUUUUUGCAAUUGGUAGUUCAGCACCUGGCUGGCCUAGGAGCAUCUUCUUAUCUUGUAAUACUUGUAUUUACGUUUCUCCUUCAGGAGUUGCCAGCUUUAGAUUGGACCCAUUAAUCAUCAUCAUCAUCAUCAUCACCACCACCACACAGUCAGCCAGAUGUUCAGGCUGGAUUUGGCACUAUCGAUUAGACAGAUGUGGAUGUUUGAUGGUAUCACAGAUAUCAUUGCAGGAUGGAAGCUGUUCCUAGUAAGGCCACCUUUUGUAAUUGAUUGAUGGUGAAUUUGUCAAUGCCAAAGAUGUUCAAAUGGUGCUCCAUUGUCUUUAUCAUUAUUACAGUGACCCCCAUCUUCAGUGCAACCUUGUUUUCUGUCCCCUUAGCUAUUCUCUCAACGCGAAGCAUUCAAAUUGGUUACAAAAAUCUCAGUGUAGUGUCUGCUUCUGAUAAUAAAUUCUGGAAAUUAGCUUGCUUCUCUCUAGGGAAAUUGAAAACAAAAGGAGAGAAAGCACUCCAUUAAAAGAGAAAGAGUGAGCACUGACUAGUCUUGAAAAGGCUUCCUAUAUCGGUGCAUUUCUCAGUAUGCUAAUAAUUCUUGAUUAGAGUUUCCAAAGAACUUAGCUGCACAUUGUUGAAGUCUGCCUUUCUGCUCAUACAACUUCUUUUUCUAGUUUCCCCUGUACCACAAGGCUCACCCUCUCCUUACUGAAUUAACCCAUUUGGGUAUUACAGAGGCUUAUAGCAUGGGGGGGUCUCAUAUUUAGAGCCCCAAAUACAAGCCAACUAUGUCUAGGUAAUGAUAGCAACUUGCAACACUAGAAAUUUUUCAUGGAUCUUGUUUCUUCAUUUAAUUCAGCUUUCAGGGAAAGGCUGGAGAGCUAUUUGUCUGGGGUGUUUUAACCUGGAUGCCUACAUUGAGUAAAAGGUUGGACUUGAUGGGUAUAAUGUCUAUUCCAGUUCUAGAAUUCUAGGUUCUAAUUUCAAAAUCCAACUGUAAGACAUCAUUUCAGGCAAAAUGCAGAGAUGUUAUCUCCAAAGAGGGAGAGAAAGAGGGAGAGGGAGAGGGAGAGAGAGGGGGAGAGGAAGAGGAAGAGGGAGAGGGAGAGGGAGAGAGAUCUGCAACAGAGAGAAAAAGAGAUGUCAGAGAAUGAACGAUUGUCUCUACCCAGUUUGAAUUCAGGUCCUUCCUCACUGCUUGCUACAGUCCAGGCCAUGAAAUGAUCCCAAGUGGUGGUGUGAUGAUGAUGAUGAUGGUGGUGGUGGUGGUGGUGGCCCAUACCAGAAGACAAAGAUGUCCAAUCAUGUUUUAGAGCAUGGGUGAUGAAAUUCUGGCAUCCCAACUCAAAUGCAACCUUAAUGCCAGCCCUCAUAGCUAAUGAGGGCUAUGGGACAAUAUAAAGAGGGACAAUGGGUGCCCACUUCUGCUUUAGACAGCUUUCAUGUGUAGAAUAAAUACUUCAGUGACAUGGCAAGUGCUAUCAUGAGCAGAUGGCAACAUAACAGAGAAUGAAGGUGCUUUAUACAUUGCAAUAAAUGCUCAUUAUAUGGAGGAGGAGAAGGCAUUGGCCUUUUGCAUAUUCAGAAGGACCUACAA